CCUGAAUGUCGGCUUGGAUUCUGACGCCUGUCAAUGACUUGUAUUUGCAGUAAUGAAGCUAAAUAACUGGAUGAGAUCAUCAAUACUAACUUUGCAUCAAUUCUGUUGACACAGUGGAAUGGCUUCUCUCCCCUCUAAGGGCUUAAUGCGCAGGAGAUUUAACGGUAUCAAGUAAAAUGACAGAAGAUCUAGUGUUAGCGAAUAACGAGCGAGAUCGUCAAGGCUUUUGUAGCUCCAAAUCAGACCAUUCAACGGAUCUCACGUGAGAGAAGCGCAAGCAAGGAGUGUGGUGCAUUCCGUAAGCUUCUCAACUUUAUGAUAAGAUUAGCAGCAUUCUCUAUGGAAAUGUUACUAGAGCCAGACGCCUGCGCCUUGUUAUGUUGAGUUUCUGCGCGACGGCCUAGUAACCUUGCCUGCACAGGGUCUACCCAUCUUCGCCCGGGCGUGUGCCCGGGGUCAAAUGCCGUUCCGGCAGCCCACGUACCAUUGUGACAGCGGCGAGGUACACGGCUCUGAAGAAGCGCAAAAGAAACGGAAGUGAAUGGAACAAUGGAACACCUCCACGACGCCUGUCAAACAUUUUGUGCAUUCUCAUUCCCAGAUCUCCUCGGUCAUGCUGACCGCCGACACACAACAUCGGAGGAGCUCUGGGAACGAGAAAGACAUUGAGCUUUUUGAAUAUAAAAUUUAUGAUAAAACUCCCACAAAACCAGCGAACACAUUACACGACCUGAGGCAAAAGACUAAAAAACUGAGGAGGGGGAGGGGGAGGGGUAUGCCGAGGGGGUCAAUUCUGUUCGAUUUGAAAUUUGUUUAAGAGGCCAGCUGUUAUUUAGCUGUACAGUAGCUCCAACCAAAUUGGUUGGAUGCAUAUUUUCAAUAUAAUCAGAGAGUUAAAGCUUAUCUCUAUUCGACUGCUGCUCAAGCAGUCUACGGUACGAGAUGCUCGUUUAAGCCACUGUCCCAUGUGACGCCAUUUUAAGCCCUAGUUUCACAGGGAUGAGAUAACUUAUCAAGCUUUCUACCUAGCUCAAUAAUAAUUAACCCAAGCAUGUACUUGAGCACAAAUUUGAAACAUUUCGAAAUUUAGCGUGAGCAAUUUUUCUAGACGAAUUCUUUCUAAUGUUUUUCAGGAAAUGCACUAAAUAUAUUGAUAUGGUAGAAGAGAGCUUCUGGGGAGAAAUGCGACCGAACAGUGCAUUUGGGGGUUUGAGUUAGAAGCCUGUUUUACUCAAAGUUUCUAAGCUGAUCGCCAAACUUUGUAAAUUCAUUCACAUAUUAUAACAUGACCAUUUCUUAGAAAUAUUUAAGAACGGACGUAUUUGGUUCUUUCCUUCACUAAAAUUUAUGCCAUUAUUGUUCACAACAACACACAACAAUUUCAAUGGCGCAUUAUGCCUUUUUACUAUUUAAAAUUAUAAAAUUAAUUGAAGGCUGUCUGAUUUGCAACCACAUCUAAAAAAGGGUCUUUUAACUUUUUUUUUCACUAACCUUUUUGGAGCACUGCAACAUGCACUGCGUGGUUAAAAGUAGAUUUUAAACAAGGACUCUCUCGAUUUUAACCGCUUUAACCUGACAAAUUAGGGACUAUGGGUCACAUGACAGUUUGAUGACUCUUGUCAUAGAGAACCUAUUUUGCAAGUAUUUCUUUUUUUGGUUAAUAUCAAUCAUUGGUCAUAUGUUUACAAUUUGAUUUGAUUGAAUUGCUUUGCUUAAAAGCUGGUAAAACAACUUUCACAACUGAAACAGCCUACACUAUCAUAAAAAUGGCAUUUUCCUUCUUCAGGAGUACCAAAAGUGAGGUUUCUAGCUUCAAAGAGGCUUAAAGAGGUAUCUUCUACCCUCUCUCUCCGUGUCUCACCCACCAUGAUAAAUUUACAAUAAAAAUCAUGCCCGACUCAUUAGCAAAAAAUCUCUUGGACGUGAAUAAAAUUAUUUUGAGCGUUUUAUUCGUUUUCAUUUUCUAAAUUGUGCCUCAUCCUAAAAAGUAAUGUUCACGCAUAAUAACAAAAUUUUAUUUAGUCCAAA